UAUUUGUAAACGUAGAAAAAUGUUUGAACAGCAGUAGAGGCUUUAUUAAAGCUUCUACUGCUGUUCAAACAUUUUUCUACGUUUACGACUU
rnacentral:pre_miRNA from 1 species